rnacentral:rRNA from 1 species
GAUGAACGCUGGCGGCGUGCCUAAUACAUGCAAGUCGAGCGAACAGACGAGGAGCUUGCUCCUCUGAUGUUAGCGGCGGACGGGUGAGUAACACGUGGAUAACCUACCUAUAAGACUGGGAUAACUUCGGGAAACCGGAGCUAAUACCGGAUAAUAUAUUGAACCGCAUGGUUCAAAAGUGAAAGACGGUUUUGCUGUCACUUAUAGAUGGAUCCGCGCCGCAUUAGCUAGUUGGUAAGGUAACGGCUUACCAAGGCGACGAUGCGUAGCCGACCUGAGAGGGGGAUCGCCCACACUGGAACUGAGACACGGUCCAGACUCCUACGGGAGGCAGCAGUAGGGAAUCUUCCGCGAUGGGCGAAAGCCUGACGGAGCAACGCCGCGUGAGUGAUGAAGGUCUUCGGAUCGUAAAACUCUGUUAUUAGGGAAGAACAAAUGUGUAAGUAACUAUGCACGUCUUGACGGUACCUAAUCAGAAAGCCACGGCUAACUACGUG